CUCUACCUACGGGAGGCAGCAGUAGGGAAUCUUCCACAAUGGACGAAAGUCUGAUGGAGCAACGCCGCGUGAGUGAAGAAGGGUUUCGGCUCGUAAAGCUCUGUUGGGAGUGAAGAAAGAUAGAGGUAGUAACUGGCCUUUAUUUGACGGUAAUUACUUAGAAAGUCACGGCUAACUACGUGCCAGCAGCCGCGGUAAUACGUAGGUGGCAAGCGUUGUCCGGAUUUAUUGGG
rnacentral:rRNA from 1 species